rnacentral:rRNA from 1 species
AUUGAACGCUGGCGGAAUGCUUUACACAUGCAAGUCGAACGGUAGAGGGGGCAACCCCUCGAGAGUGGCGAACGGGUGAGUAAUAUAUCGGAACGUGCCCAGUCGUGGGGGAUAACGUAGCGAAAGUUACGCUAAUACCGCAUACGAUCUAAGGAUGAAAGCGGGGGACCGUAAGGCCUCGCGCGAUUGGAGCGGCCGAUAUCAGAUUAGGUAGUUGGUGAGGUAAAGGCUCACCAGGCCAACGAUCUGUAGCUGGUCUGAGAGGACGACCAGCCACACUGGAACUGAGACACGGUCCAGACUCCUACGGGAGGCAGCAGUGGGGAAUUUUGGACAAUGGACGCAAGUCUGAUCCAGCCAUUCCGCGUGCAGGAUGAAGGCCCUCGGGUUGUAAACUGCUUUUGUACGGAACGAAAAGGUCUCUCCUAAUACGAGGGGCUCAUGACGGUACCGUAAGAAUAAGCACCGGCUAACUACGUGCCAGCCGCCGCGGUAA